rnacentral:lncRNA from 1 species
UUUUGCGUAGAAGAAGAAGAAGGAGAAGAUCCGCCAUUGUUAGCUCUGUUUUGAGAUUUACAGUUUUUCAACAUUUGUGGAGCAGAGGUGCACCAUGGCUUGCCACAAUGUCACAAUGGGUUCUUGGAGAGCCGCUGCUGUUGACUUGCUGCAUGUCUCCUCUCUGCGGCAAAACUCACAAAUACUCCACUCACCAAGUUCCAGAGGGAGAGGAUCACCAGCCACCA